UGUUAUAACAAAUAUAGUAGAUUUAUUUUAAUUCUACAAAAACAAAAAGGUUACAUUUCAGGACAUACAAUGUUACAAGAUACAUUUGUAUUAGAUCCUUUAAAAGGAAGUUACUUUUAGCAGUGUUUCUUGGCAUGUUCUCAUCUUUGCCUAGUCAUACUGUGCACAUGAGUCCUAUUCAGAACAGGAUACAAGAUUCAGUGAAAAAAAACCCACACAAGACAAUGAAAUAAAAAUGCUGACAUCAAGACAUGGACAGUGUCAGGCUACCUAGAACAGCAGGAAAAGAAUUAAGACACUUCUUAACAGAGGGCACACACUGACCAAACGUGAACCAUUGCAGUGUAUAUAAAUCUGUAUGGAGAAAGAUAGAAUGGGAGCUUUGCAAUGUUAAUUUUUUUUUUUGUGGUAGAUACACCUCUAGUGGCAGUCUUCAUGGGAGGGAAUCGACAGAUCAGCCUGGCCAAUAAAGAUACUGAUAUUAGAGACCAGGGCCGCCAUCAGUGUCCUGGGGGGUCCAGCACGCUCUCCUACUUACCUUCCCAGCAGCUCCCUUGGCUGUCAGAGUUGCAAUGGCAAAGCUCCACACAGCACACAGGCUGCGAGAGUUAGACAGGGGAGCUGAAGGGAAGGCAAGUAAGAGUGUGCUGGGCCCCAACCGCAGAGUUCAUGCCACCAGGGAAUGCCAUACCCGCACCAGGUAAGAAGCAGAGAGGGGACUAAAAUAGAAUUAAAAAAAAUAAAAAACCCACCACCACACAGGUUCUUGAAAAUAUGGCAGAUUCUGACUGGCAUGUAUAUUUUGUGCCUUUACCUUUAAAAAAAAAAAAAUUUUUGCAAAAAAACCAAACACGUUCUGUUAACAGUAGAUUUGUUUAGAAAGUUUAUUUUACAUGGUAAAGGUAUAGAAUCAGCAUUGGUAUCAGCCUUAGAGUUCAGAUUGUGAUCAGCUAUAAAAAAUAAAAUAAAAAAAAUAAGCAGUUGCUCCAUUGACAUGGACCCAACUUUGGAAUAAAGGCAAGUUAGAGUAAUGUAACUAAUUUAAGACUAGAGAGACGAAUCCAAACUCUAAAAAUGGUUAGAAGUGUCCUUUUAAGAUACAUUGUAAAACACACAACCUUUGAUUUUUAUUAGCAUCACAAAAAGUGCAUCCACCAUCUGCAUAGAUGCCACUCUGCAGUCCAACCUCAAGAGAACUAGGUAGAAAAUAUUAUGGACCCCUUGUUGUAGGUGGAGCACAAUUAGCUUUUAGGGUAAGCCCCCCAUGGUUGUGAGUGGGGGUUAACCCCAUCCACCCAACUCUGCAGCUGAUUUAAAGAUAUAAAUUAAAAAAAAA